rnacentral:rRNA from 1 species
UACGAAGGGGGCUAGCGUUGCUCGGAAUUACUGGGCGUAAAGGGAGCGUAGGCGGACAGUUAAGUCAGUGGUGAAAGCCCAGAGCUCAACUCUGGAAUUGCCUUUGAUACUGAUUGUCUUGAGUAUGGGAGAGGUAUGCGGAACUCCGAGUGUAGAGGUGAAAUUCGUAGAUAUUCGGAAGAACACCAGUGGCGAAGGCGGCAUACUGGCCCAUUACUGACGCUGAGGCUCGAAAGCGUGGGGAGCAAACAGGAUUAGAUACCCUGGUAGUCCACGCUGUAAACGAUGAGUGCUAGUUGUCGGCAUGCAUGCAUGUCGGUGACGCAGCUAACGCAUUAAGCACUCCGCCUGGGGAGUACGGUCGCAAGAUUAAA